rnacentral:rRNA from 1 species
CCUACGGGUGGCAGCAGUGGGGGAUAUUGCACAAUGGGGGAAACCCUGAUGCAGCGACGCCGCGUGUGGGAAGACGGUCCUCUGGAUUGUAAACCACUGUCCCCAGGGACGAAGAUGACGGUACCUGGGGAGGAAGCUCCGGCUAACUACGUGCCAGCAGCCGCGGUACUACGUAGGGAGCGAGCGUUGUCCGGAAUUACUGGGGGUAAAGGGAGUGUAGGCGGGACUGCAAGUUGGGUGUCAAAUCUACCGGCUCAACCGGUAGCCGCACUCAAAACUGCAGUUCUUGAGUGAAGUAGAGGCAGGCGGAAUUCCUAGUGUAGCGGUGAAAUGCGUAGAUAUUAGGAGGAACACCAGUGGCGAAGGCGGCCUGCUGGGCUUUUACUGACGCUGAGGCUCGAAAGUGUGGGGAGCAAACAGGAUUAGAUACCCCUGUAGUC